AAGCAAGUAAUUAACCUUGAAAAAGUUUGGGAAAAGCGAAAAGGAAACAUAAACCGGCUGGCGAGUUGGGAGAAAUUGAAGAAAGCAUUGCAUAUUGUUGUUAUUCGUUGGAUCCAGGGCGAGUUGGAUUAGUGAUUCAUGGGAUCUUAUUCUUAUGGUUGAUUUGAUUGAGAAGUAGAAGAAGAAUUGAGAGUUAGGAAGAUGGGUUGGGGAAGGGGAAUGUUUGAAGGUGCGGUGGUUGUGGGAUCUCUGUGUUUACUGGGUUGGGCCGGUUUAUGGUUCUUGAACCGUCGCUUAUACAAAGAGUACGAAGAGAAGCGAUUUCUGGUCCAAAUCAUCUUCAGCGUCGUCUUUGCCUUCUCCUGCAAUCUUCUCCAGCUUGUGCUCUUCGAAAUCAUUCCAAUUCUCUCCAAAGAGGCGAGAGUGGUGAACUGGAAGGUGGACUUGUUCUGUUUGAUCUUGUUGCUGGUGUUUUUGCUCCCUUAUUAUCAUUGUUACUUGAUGCUUAAAAACAACGGUGUCAGAACCGAGAGGGCUGCACUCGGUGCCAUUUUGUUCUUGCUCGCUUUUCUCUAUGCCUUUUGGCGUAUGGGCAUUCACUUCCCAAUGCCAUCGCCCGAUAAAGGUUUCUUCACUAUGCCUCAACUGGUGAGUAGAAUUGGGGUGAUCGGUGUUACUGUCAUGGCUGUUCUAUCUGGUUUUGGUGCUGUAAACUUGCCAUACAGUUAUUUAUCGCUUUUCAUCAGAGAGAUUGAGGAAACAGAGAUCAAGGCCUUGGAAAGACAACUUAUGCAAUCACUUGAGACUUGUAUAUUGAAGAAGAAGAAAAUUAUUCUUUGCCAAAUGGAGAUGGAGCACAAGCAGGGAUCUGAAGAAAAGUUAAAUGCUAGAUCUUUAAUUAAACGAAUUGUUGGUACGGUUGUUCGAUCUAUGCAUGAGGACCAAAAUGAGCAAGAUAUCAAAGGCAUGGAAGCAGAAGUACUGGCUUUAGAAGAGCUUUCAAAACAAUUGUUCUUGGAGAUCUAUGAGCUUCGUCAAGCAAAGGAAGCUGCUGCUUAUUCUCGAACUUGGAGAGGACACAUGCAGAAUCUACUUGGUUAUGCUUGUUCUGUCUAUUGUGUGUAUAAAAUGAUCAAGUCAUUGCAAAGUGUUGUUUUCAAACAGGAUGGUUCAGUUGAUCCCGUGACAAGGAUAAUAAGUAUAUUCCUACAGUUCUUUGAUAUAGGAAUAAAUGCAGCCUUAUUAUCACAGUACAUUUCCUUGCUAUUCAUUGGAAUGUUGGUUGUGAUAUCGGUGCGUGGAUUCUUAACAAAUCUAAUGAAGUUCUUUUUUGCUGUUUCAAGAGUUGGAAGUGGAUCUUCAAGCAAUGUAGUUCUGUUUUUGUCCGAGAUAAUGGGAAUGUAUUUUGUAUCUUCCAUUCUUUUAAUCAGGAAAAGCUUAGCAACUGAAUACAGGAUUAUUAUAACAGAGGUAUUGGGUGGUGAUAUCCAGUUUGACUUCUAUCACCGGUGGUUUGAUGCAAUUUUUGUGGCUAGUGCAUUUCUUUCACUGCUUCUACUUUCAGCUCAUUACACAUCUCGCCAAAUUGACAAACAUCCAAUUGAUUGAGUAACAGGAAGCAUAUUCCUUAGAUGCAUGUAUAGUUUCUAAUGCCACGUAAGUGAAUAGCUGAUUGAAAAAUCUGAUGCUGGAAGAAAUCACCAGUGGCAGGGAGAGGGUUGAUAUUGUUUCAGUUAUAUCAACCGAUGCGCGUACUGCCAAAUCUAUUAGAGUACCCAUUUUUGGAUGAUCUUUCGAAAGUGGAAAUUUCUGAGCUGAUAUAUUGUUGGGCAAUAUGUUCAAUGUUUAAGUAUAGAAUGAAUUGGAUGUGAAUAGUUUUUGCACUUGGGAUUGGUACCAUGAACCUUAGGAACAGUUGCAUAGUUAUAGGUAAUUUUGGAUUAUCCGCGGUUGAAAUUCCCACUCAAAUGUUUUGGCCGUCUGUCUUGAAUAUUUUUUCUUUUCUGGUGUCAGUAUAUUUCUUCAAGAACUUGUUAAGCCAGAUUACUUGAAAAUAUGUGCGUGUCAGUCUUGUAGACCAAGUGUAAUAUGACAUGAUGUUGAGGUGAUAAUACAAUGACUAAUAUAUAAGCAUAU